UCUAUACACAAUGGUCACAGAAAAAUUGUUAUACUUUGUGAUACUAACUGUAAGUGCAACAGGGAAUCAGAAGAGAGAUGAGUAUAGGCUGGAAUACUUAAAGAGAUGAUUCAUGGAAGAGGUAGGACUUGGAGUGGGCCUUGAGCUUGGCCUUUAGAUUAACAAGGGCCAGAAGAAGGACAUUUUACGUGGAAAAUUGGGAAUAGCACAAUGAAAACAGAGUAGGCAUGGUUUAAAUAUAAGGAACAGUGUAGUUCUGCCUGGUUUGAAGAAAUAAGAUGUAAGGUUGAG
rnacentral:lncRNA from 1 species